UAGCCGUAAACGAUACUCGCUAGGUGUCGGCCACGGUGCGACCGUUGUCGGUGCCGUAGGGAAGCCGUGAAGCGAGCCACCUGGGAAGUACGGCCGCAAGGCUGAAACUUAAAGGAAUUGGCGGGGGAGCACAACAACGGGUGGAGCUUGCGGUUUAAUUUGGAUUCAACGCCGGAAAUCUUACCGGGACCGACAGCAACAUGAAGGCCAAGCUGAAGACUUUGCCGGAUUAGCUGAGAGGAGGUGCAUGGCGUAGUCG
rnacentral:rRNA from 1 species